rnacentral:lncRNA from 1 species
UUAAAAUUUUAUUUCUUAAUUUGAGUGAAGUACACAAAUGCGAAAAAUAGUAAUUCUAAAACAAUAUUUUUUUUAAAUCUUAAUUAAAUGCUUGUUAUUAAAAGUUUUGCUUUUUCUAAUAAAUUUUUUAAGUUGUAAAUUAAAUUUUUUUUAUAUUUUUAAUCCGAUAUGCGGGAGGAUGAGUGGCCGCUAUGUCCGCGGUUUUAUGAAGGUGGUCAACCGAAACUCCGGCGCACAUCCUAAUUGCGACGAACCUUCGAUAAUACAAAACGGAACACACAGCUCUUGCAGUCGUGCCCGACAAAGACUCGAACCUAUCCGCGGCGCGAUUGAUGAAUACGUCGAGUUUUUAGCCCUAAAAACUAAGGAAACGGAAUAGACACUCCUAUCGAAGGUUUUCGGAGCUGACUAAGAUCACUUCUUCGAGCAGAAUAUUUUUCAACAAAGACCGUAGAAGGGGCUCUUGUGACGACUGGGCGUUGUAUGAGGCAGGACUGGCGAUGUAGAAGUCUGAGUUAAAGAAAACCAAGAGACCCGCCUGGAAAGCCUUCUGGGGAAGUGUUAGGGGUUGUCAUGAUUCCCCAAGAUUGAAUUACAUUCUCGCGAAAACACCAUAUUCAACUGGGUUAUUUUAGAAGUGCAGAUGGUAUAUGGUGGUGUAGGGAGUUGAUAAAGUUCGCUCCAGGAUGGUUAGAUUAGAACUUGGAUCUAAGGCUUGGUUACGGAUAGAACUCUCAAUACAUUUCUAAGAAUAUAAGGCAUAUUAGUCUAUCCUCGUAUUUGUUGAAAACGUUGGAGAAGCUCAUGGACUUGUACAUUAGGAAUAGAAUAAAAAGGUGUAAAUUGUUAAGGACCCAGCAUGCCUACAGCAAGGGCAUGUUUUUCGAUAUUGUUUUGCACGAUGGCUCGAGGGAUCAUUUAUGUACAAGGAAUGUAUGAUAGACACUUUUCCCGAUCUCGAGGGUGCCUUAUAACGACUUUUUUUUGGACGUAGGGGAAUGAAAUAGUGAAUCUCGAAAGAAUAACAGAGACACCCCGCAGGAUGAUGUGUUUUAUUCUCUGUUCUGAUAUGUAGUGUUUUGGAUAUUCGAAACCGUAGUCAAGCCAAUUUUUUCUUUGCUCACAUAUCGACGGAGAUAUAUGGAUGACUCCGGAAAAGGAGCGACAAUAUUAGCGCUGAGCUAGCUAACUGUACCCUGAAAGUCUAGCAAGAGGAACCUUCCCCUCACAUCUGAAGGGGAACGAGUUAGAUCUCACUGUUCAAUAGCCAUUCAUGCGGUUCGGCUAAAUCGGCCAGUUGUAUAGAGGAAGUAGAACUGCAAACAAUCGAUGGGACUAUCGAUAGCAUUUAUAGUUUUAUAUUGCUUAUUUUAACCAAUGGGUGGCAUGCAGAGAUGAUAGCCUCAAAAUCAGCUUUUCGUAUUGGAUUCAGAAUGUUGCGGAAAUCUUUACAAUUAGGUAUAAAUUUCUAAUGUUGUGAAAUGCUGAAAUGCAGACGCAAUUCAAAAUUUUUCGACGCGACUGCUUUCCAAUAUUUUAAUAAGAGUUAAGAACCGUGGAAAAAUAGAAAUUGUGAACAAACCUAUAUUUUAUUUAGCAAUUGUGAUUUUACUAAAAUCAUUUUAAAAAAUAGAAUUAUGAAAUUGAAACAUAUAAUACAAACA